UACGGGGGGGGCAAGCGUUGUUCGGAAUUACUGGGCGUAAAGGGCUCGUAGGUGGCCAACUAAGUCAGACGUGAAAUCCCUCGGCUUAACCGGGGAACUGCGUCUGAUACUGGAUGGCUUGAGUUUGGGAGAGGGAUGCGGAAUUCCAGGUGUAGCGGUGAAAUGCGUAGAUAUCUGGAGGAACACCGGUGGCGAAGGCGGCAUCCUGGACUACUACUGACGCUGAGGAGCGAAAGCCAGGGGAGCAAACGGG
rnacentral:rRNA from 1 species